CCAUGGUGCUUUCACGACGCUUGGAGUAGACCUCGCCAUGGUGGUAUCACGAUGAUUGACUGCGCAGGACUUAUAAAGAGGUUGAAACCUGGCCUGGCACACUCCUCUCACUGAACCCAGAGCUGAUUUGGCUAGAAUGGAAACAAGCCUGAGAGAUCCCCCUGCCGCUGUCUCCACCUCCCCAGCUCUGAGAUUGUAGGCAUGCACUGCCACACUCGACUUUAUGGAGUUCUGGAGCUCCAGACUCAGGUUCUCAUGCUUGCCAAGAAAGCACUUCUUCUUGCUGGGCUGUGUCCCCAACCCCUGGGCUCUCUCUUUCCUCUUUACAUCAGAGACGUGCUAUAAGAAACAGAGCCGUCGACGGAUGAUAUAUCUCCUGACUGACUCAGCUAUGCCGAGGCCUGCCUGGAGCUUUUCAGUUACCACAUGCAAGUACCCCACCAGCUUCUUGGUUAGAUGCCACCAUUGCUGACUCUCCCUCCGGGGCAAGAGACAAGCAUUAAUGAUGAAGGCUCCGCACUGACUCACUUCUCCUUUCCACAUAUUCUUGUGAAUAACAACCUUCAAAAAAAAAAAGUGAAGUAAUGGUCAGAAAUUAGAGCCAUUUUUCUCUGCCUGUGCUACAAUUUUUCAGGAACAAGGCUAGCUGGCUUUCAGAAGGAUCAAAUAGAAUUUGAAAAUCGCCCUGCUUUAUGUGGCAAGAGCUUCAAGAAUAUCAAACAUUUCUUGCCAUUUGCAAGCAAAUGGGUCAGAAGAUUCUUCCACGAUUAUCUCUUCCAGAGAAAGGCAGCUUCAAACCACAGAAAAUAGACAUUACCAAGAAAAAUAACCUGCUUUAAGAGGGCGAGAACAACCCUGAGAUAUCUGGGAAUUAGAGCUGGCAAAGUACACAGAGAGGACAGGAUCAACAUCGCAGCAAAUGACUCCAACAACCUGAGUCCUGAGCCUCGGAUCUCUCAGCAGGCUUUGCCCUUUUCGAGUCAGUGAUGGGGGGUGAAGAUGGAUGCUCGCCAAGAGAUGACUGGAAACUAACAGCUCCUUCAAUCAAGCCCAGCAGCACUGUCAUCCAUCCAAGGCCACCACUCAGAGACUCUCCCUCAUUUCCCAAAACUCUGGAAGGUACUCGCGACGUCACGAACACGGGAGAGAGCCCUGCACAGACCCCACUCUCAUCUUCUACCUGGAAUUUUUUGAAGCCUUUCUCUGCUCUCAGCUGGCCAGGGAGGCUCCCCUGAGUCCUGGUCACUGAUGCAGAGCACAUACGUCACGGGUGACGAGUGAGCCAACUUCUCUACACCUACAUACCAAAAGGGAAGGCCCCAAGAGAACAGAGGAUUACUCAGAUCUGAUAUUUGCUGGACAGACAACUAGCAUUUUUUAUUUUGUUUUGUUUUUGUUUUUCAUGAGAGGUUGUCUCUGUAGCCCCCACCCCCCA